rnacentral:miRNA from 1 species
AAGCUUCUGAAUGUUCCAGUGA